rnacentral:rRNA from 1 species
UACGUAGGGGGCAAGCGUUGUCCGGAUUUAUUGGGCGUAAAGAGCGUGUAGGCGGCCAUACAGGUCCGUUGUGAAAACUGGAGGCUUAACCUCCAGACGUCGAUGGAAACCGUAUGGCUAGAGUCCGGAAGAGGAGAGUGGAAUUCCUGGUGUAGCGGUGAAAUGCGCAGAUAUCAGGAAGAACACCCGUGGCGAGGGCGGCUCUCUGGGACGGUACUGACGCUGAGACGCGAAAGCGUGGGGAGCGAACAGG